rnacentral:rRNA from 1 species
ACGGGAGGCAGCAGUGGGGAAUAUUGGACAAUGGGCGCAAGCCUGAUCCAGCAACGCCGCGUGGAGGACGAAGGUCUUCGGAUCGUAAACUCCUGUCAGGCGGGACGAAGGCUUCCGGGCGAACAGUCUGGAAGCUUGACGGUACUGCCAGAGGAAGCCCCGGCUAACUCCGUGCCAGCAGCCGCGGUAAUACGGAGGGGGCUAGCGUUAUUCGGAAUUAUUGGGCGUAAAGGGCGCGUAGGCGGCCCGGUAAGUCAAAGGUGAAAUCCCUCGGCUCAACUGAGGAACUGCCUUUGAAACUGUCGGGCUUGAGGCCGGGAGGGGGUAGCGGAAUUCCCAGUGUAGCGGUGAAAUGCGUAGAUAUUGGGAGGAACACCGGUGGCGAAGGCGGCUACCUGGACCGGUUCUGACGCUGAUGCGCGAAAGCGUGGGUAGCAAACAGGAUUAGAUACCCUGGUA